UACGUAGGGGGCAAGCGUUGUCCGGAAUUAUUGGGCGUAAAGCGCGCGCAGGCGGUUCUUUUAAGUCUGGUGUUUAAACCCGAGGCUCAACUUCGGGUCGCACUGGAAACUGGGGGACUUGAGUGCAGAAGAGGAGAGUGGAAUUCCACGUGUAGCGGUGAAAUGCGUAGAUAUGUGGAGGAACACCAGUGGCGAAGGCGACUCUUUGGCCUAUAACUGACGCUGAGGCGCGAAAGCGUGGGGAGCAAACAGG
rnacentral:rRNA from 1 species